CUGUACGAGAAAUCUUCACCUCAGAGACAGAGAUCGAUUAGCUUAACAAAGUUCUGGUUUCGAAUAGUUUGGAACUCGCACAGAGAGAGGAGAGAAGAAGAAACAGGAGCUCGCCCCCUUGUGAAAUCUCCUCUGCAGAGCAGGUAUUGGGACAAAUUUUAGGGUUUUUCUAGACCCCCUAUACAGAGAGGUAACGUCUUCUUCUUCUCUUCUAUUUCGUCUUCUUCUCUUCUAUUUCUUCUUCUUCUCCUUUGCUUCCUAAAUCCAUACACCUCUUGUGGUACCUAGUUUCAUCUAUCACAGUGUUGUUGUAAGUUUGUUAAAUUUCAAUUCUUCCAAUUUUCAUUUCAGCUUGUACAGAAUCUUCACCAAUUGAAAUGUGCAUUCUUGUUUUUAUGUUUACUCUGGAAGUUGUGUAUUGAAGACUUGAUUAAUUAAUCUGUAAAUAAACCUUGACUGCCACUUCCGAAGGUAACGAAAGUUCUAAGCA